GCUGUAAUGGCGGCGCAAGCCUGGAGGGAGGGGGUGGUGGCACAGCUUCCAGUUCCUGGAGCUGGUGGGGCUUGGUUUGUGCUACAGAGUCGAAAUCACUGAUACCUAACUCUAAGUAUCAGGUCUAUUUUGGGCUAGUGGUGCACUGGUACUAAGGCUCCCCUAUUACCAGCUAAAAUCACAGGCAGCUGCAGUCACUAAAGAUGGAGAUUGCUGAGAGCUGUGUUUAAGAAGGAGGAGGCCUGAAGACAAGUUGGCUCUACUCUUUUUGAUGAAGAUAUCGUUAUCCCACACAUAUUAGAGCUUUAGCCUACUUUAUUGUUGAUUAAAUAUUCUCUUUU